GACAGGGGAUACAAGCGUUACUCGGAAUCACUGGGCGUAAAGCGUCUGUAGGUUCUUCGGUAAGUCUGCGGUAAAAGCUCGGGGCUCAACCCUGAGAGCGUCGCGGAAACUACCGGGGUGGAGUAGUGCAGAGGCAUCUGGAAUGUCGCAUGUAGGAGUAAAAUCCGUAGAGAUGCGAUGGAACGCCAAAAGCGAAGGCAGGAUGCUGGGCACUUACUGACACUGAGAGACGAAAGCGUGGGGAGCGAAGCGG
rnacentral:rRNA from 1 species